rnacentral:rRNA from 1 species
AAGCUCAAAUUUGAAAUCCCCCGGGAAUUGUAAUUUGAAGAGAUUUGGGUCCGGCCGGCAGGGGUUAAGUCCACUGGAAAGUGGCGCCACAGAGGGUGACAGCCCCGUGAACCCCUUUAAAGCCCUCAUCCCAGAUCUCCAAGAGUCGAGUUGUUUGGGAAUGCAGCUCUAAGUGGGUGGUAAAUUCCAUCUAAAGCUAAAUACCGGCGAGAGACCGAUAGCGAACAAGUACAGUGAUGGAAAGAUGAAAAGCACUUUGAAAAGAGAGUGAAAAAGUACGUGAAAUUGUUGAAAGGGAAGGGCUUGCAAGCAGACACUUAACUGGGCCAGCAUCGGGGCGGCGGGGAGCAAAACCACCGGGGAAUGUACCUUUCGAGGAUUAUAACCCCGGUCCUUACUCCCUCACCAUCCCGAGGCCUGCAAUCUAAGGAUGCUGGCGUAAUGGUUGCAAGUCGCCCGU